CAGAGAAUAGUUUAUAAAAAUAAUAAUUUUGGAGAUUAUAGAUAAAAUAUUAAAUUUUUUCUUUGA
rnacentral:tRNA from 1 species